AGUGAACGCUGGCGGUAGGCCUAACACAUGCAAGUCGAACGGCAGCACAGUAAGAGCUUGCUCUUACGGGUGGCGAGUGGCGGACGGGUGAGGAAUACAUCGGAAUCUACUUUUUCGUGGGGGAUAACGUAGGGAAACUUACGCUAAUACCGCAUACGACCUACGGGUGAAAGCAGGGGAUCUUCGGACCUUGCGCGAUUGAAUGAGCCGAUGUCGGAUUAGCUAGUUGGCGGGGUAAAGGCCCACCAAGGCGACGAUCCGUAGCUGGUCUGAGAGGAUGAUCAGCCACACUGGAACUGAGACACGGUCCAGACUCCUACAGGAGGCAGCAGUGGGGAAUAUUGGACAAUGGGCGCAAGCCUGAUCCAGCCAUACCGCGUGGGUGAAGAAGGCCUUCGGGUUUUAAAGCCCUUUUGUUGGGAAAGAAAAGCAGCAGGUUAAUACCCCGCUGUUCUGACGGUACCCAAAGAAUAAGCACCGGCUAACUUCGUG
rnacentral:rRNA from 1 species